UACGAAGGGGGCUAGCGUUGCUCGGAAUUACUGGGCGUAAAGGGCGCGUAGGCGGAUACUUAAGUCGGGGGUGAAAGCCCAGGGCUCAACCCUGGAACAGCCUUCGAUACUGGGUAUCUUGAGUACGGGAGAGGUGUGUGGAACUCCGAGUGUAGAGGUGAAAUUCGUAGAUAUUCGGAAGAACACCAGUGGCGAAGGCGACACACUGGCCUGUUACUGACGCUGAGGCGCGAAAGCGUGGGGAGCAAACAGG
rnacentral:rRNA from 1 species